CGCCGCCGCUCCGCCCCUGAGCGCCGGGCGCCCAAAGGCUGCCGGAGCGCUCGUGUUGCGGCAGUCCUCGUUGCCGGGGCUGGCGCGGCCCCUUCGGCGGGGGCUGAGCGGCUUUAUCUGCGCGCCUCGGAAGUGGCCACGGGCUCUGGCUGGCUGAAGAGACCACACUUACCAAGAAGAACAGACAUCUCUAUGUAAACAGAGGCUUUGGAGCAAAGAGUUCUGGCUACGUUAGUCUUUGGAAUACCUGAAAAUACACUGGAACGUACAGAAAUGAAGGAACAGACCCUCAAUGAGUCUUUUCAACACCUGAAGGAAGUCCAGUGGGAAGAAACUGGGAUCAGAAAGGCUGUCUUUAAAGGAGGCUGUGUUCUGUCAUCAGGAGAAGAGAGGGGAAUCCCCUCGUACUGUUUCAGCCUAUUGGAUGUGCUGCUGUGCAUCGUUCAGGUUUGUGAACCAAGUGUAAGUACUGGCUGGUUACAGGUGCUGUCUGUCUCAGAGGCUGCUAUUUUCCAGUUGUCAUUUGUGAACUUUGAAAAAAAACUUUUCAUUUGUUUGUGGCAUUUGUCUUAACUGUCUUAUAACAGAGUGUAAAACAAAGAUUGUGUUUUCAUUGUGCA
rnacentral:lncRNA from 1 species